rnacentral:rRNA from 1 species
AAGGGUUGGGCAAGACCGGUACCAGCCGCCCGCGGUAAUACCGGCAGCCCGAGUGAUGGCCGAUCUUAUUGGGCCUAAAGCGUCCGUAGCUGGCUGCGCAAGUCCGUCGGGAAAUCCACUCGCCCAACGAGUGGGCGUCCGACGGAAACUGCACAGCUUGGGACCGGAAGGCUCGAAGGGUACGUUCGGGGUAGGAGUGAAAUCCUAUAAUCCCGCACGGACCACCGAUGGCGAAAGCACUUCGAGAAAACGGAUCCGACAGUGAGGGACGAAAGCCAGGGUCUCCAACCGGAUUAGAUACCCGGGUAGUCCUGGCCGUAAACAAUGUUUCGCUAGGUAUGACACAGACUACGCGUCUCUGUUGUGCCGUAGGGAAGCCGAGAAGCGAACCGCCUGG